GGUUAAGCGACUAAGCGUACACGGUGGAUGCCCUGGCAGUCAGAGGCGAUGAAGGACGUGCUAAUCUGCGAAAAGCGUCGGUAAGGUGAUAUGAACCGUUAUAACCGGCGAUGUCCGAAUGGGGAAACCCAGUGCAAUUCGUUGCACUAUCGUUAACUGAAUACAUAGGUUAACGAGGCGAACCGGGGGAACUGAAACAUCUAAGUACCCCGAGGAAAAGAAAUCAACCGAGAUUCCCCCAGUAGCGGCGAGCGAACGGGGAGCAGCCCGGAGUCUGAAUCAGCUUGUGUGUUAGUGGAAGCGUCUGGAAAGUCGCAGGGUACAGGGUGAUACUCCCGUACACUAAAACACACAGGCUGUGAACUCGAAGAGUAGGGCGGGACACGUGGUAUCCUGUCUGAAUAUGGGGGGACCAUCCUCCAAGGCUAAAUACUCCUGACUGACCGAUAGUGAACCAGUACCGUGAGGGAAAGGCGAAAAGAACCCCGGCGAGGGGAGUGAAAAAGAACCUGAAACCGUGUACGUACAAGCAGUAGGAGCCCCACCACCAAAGCGUUUCGCUUUGCGUGGUGCGCAAAAUGCGUAACGACAGCAUGAUGGACGGUUAACGGAGCGUCAGCGACGUUCAACCUCAAAAAUCAGGCAGUGGAGCGUUUUGGGGUGGGGUGACUGCGUACCUUUUGUAUAAUGGGUCAGCGACUUAUAUUCUGUAGCAAGGUUAACCGAAUAGGGGAGCCGCAGGGAAACCGAGUCUUAACUGGGCGUUAAGUUGCAGGGUAUAGACCCGAAACCCGGUGAUCUAGCCAUGGGCAGGUUGAAGGUUGGGUAACACUAACUGGAGGACCGAACCGACUAAUGUUGAAAAAUUAGCGGAUGACUUGUGGCUGGGGGUGAAAGGCCAAUCAAACCGGGAGAUAGCUGGUUCUCCCCGAAAGCUAUUUAGGUAGCGCCUCGUGAACUCAUCUUCGGGGGUAGAGCACUGUUUCGGCUAGGGGGUCAUCCCGACUUACCAACCCGAUGCAAACUACGAAUACCGAAGAAUGUUAUCACGGGAGACACACGGCGGGUGCUAACGUCCGUCGUGAAGAGGGAAACAACCCAGACCGCCAGCUAAGGUCCCAAAGUCAUGGUUAAGUGGGAAACGAUGUGGGAAGGCCCAGACAGCCAGGAUGUUGGCUUAGAAGCAGCCAUCAUUUAAAGAAAGCGUAAUAGCUCACUGGUCGAGUCGGCCUGCGCGGAAGAUGUAACGGGGCUAAACCAUGCACCGAAGCUGCGGCAGCGACACUAUGUGUUGUUGGGUAGGGGAGCGUUCUGUAAGCCGUUGAAGGUGGCCUGUGAGGGUUGCUGGAGGUAUCAGAAGUGCGAAUGCUGACAUAAGUAACGAUAAUGCGGGUGAAAAACCCGCACGCCGGAAGACCAAGGGUUCCUGUCCAACGUUAAUCGGGGCAGGGUGAGUCGACCCCUAAGGCGAGGCCGAAAGGCGUAGUCGAUGGGAAACAGGUUAAUAUUCCUGUACUUGGUGUUACUGCGAAGGGGGGACGGAGAAGGCUAUGUUGGCCGGGCGACGGUUGUCCCGGUUUAAGCAUGUAGGCGGAUGUUCCAGGUAAAUCCGGAACGUUACUAACGCUGAGGUGUGAUGACGAGGCACUACGGUGCUGAAGUGACAAAUGCCCUGCUUCCAGGAAAAGCCUCUAAGCAUCAGGUAACAUCAAAUCGUACCCCAAACCGACACAGGUGGUCAGGUAGAGAAUACCAAGGCGCUUGAGAGAACUCGGGUGAAGGAACUAGGCAAAAUGGUGCCGUAACUUCGGGAGAAGGCACGCUGAUGGUAAGUGAAGUGACUUGCUCAUGGAGCUGAAAUCAGUCGAAGAUACCAGCUGGCUGCAACUGUUUAUUAAAAACACAGCACUGUGCAAACACGAAAGUGGACGUAUACGGUGUGACGCCUGCCCGGUGCCGGAAGGUUAAUUGAUGGGGUUAUCCUCACGGAGAAGCUCUUGAUCGAAGCCCCGGUAAACGGCGGCCGUAACUAUAACGGUCCUAAGGUAGCGAAAUUCCUUGUCGGGUAAGUUCCGACCUGCACGAAUGGCGUAAUGAUGGCCAGGCUGUCUCCACCCGAGACUCAGUGAAAUUGAACUCGCUGUGAAGAUGCAGUGUACCCGCGGCAAGACGGAAAGACCCCGUGAACCUUUACUAUAGCUUGACACUGAACACUGGUCCUUGAUGUGUAGGAUAGGUGGGAGGCUUUGAAGUGUGGACGCCAGUCUGCAUGGAGCCAUCCUUGAAAUACCACCCUUUAAUGGCUGGUGUUCUAACGUGGGCCCGUGAUCCGGGUUGCGGACAGUGUCUGGUGGGUAGUUUGACUGGGGCGGUCUCCUCCUAAAGAGUAACGGAGGAGCACGAAGGUCAGCUAAUCCUGGUCGGACAUCAGGAGGUUAGUGCAAUGGCAUAAGCUGGCUUGACUGCGAGCGUGACGGCGCGAGCAGGUGCGAAAGCAGGUCAUAGUGAUCCGGUGGUUCUGAAUGGAAGGGCCAUCGCUCAACGGAUAAAAGGUACUCCGGGGAUAACAGGCUGAUACCGCCCAAGAGUUCAUAUCGACGGCGGUGUUUGGCACCUCGAUGUCGGCUCAUCACAUCCUGGGGCUGAAGUAGGUCCCAAGGGUAUGGCUGUUCGCCAUUUAAAGUGGUACGCGAGCUGGGUUUAGAACGUCGUGAGACAGUUCGGUCCCUAUCUGCCGUGGGCGCUGGAGAAUUGAGGGGGGCUGCUCCUAGUACGAGAGGACCGGAGUGGACGCAUCACUGGUGUUCGGGUUGUCAUGCCAAUGGCAUUGCCCGGUAGCUAAAUGCGGAAGAGAUAAGUGCUGAAAGCAUCUAAGCACGAAACUUGCCCCGAGAUGAGUUCUCCCUGACUCCUUGAGAGUCCUGAAGGAACGUUGAAGACGACGACGUUGAUAGGCCGGGUGUGUAAGCGCAGCGAUGCGUUGAGCUAACCGGUACUAAUGAACCGUGAGGCUUAACCUU
rnacentral:rRNA from 1 species